UUUUUAAAUUGCUGUAGUAUUUUGACUAUACAAAGGUAUUGAAAUAAGAUUUUAAUUGAAUGCUAAGAGAAUGGAAUUUCAGAAAAAAACUUUUUUCAAGUUAAAAAUUGAAAUUUUUUCAAUUUGUGCAGAAACAAUUAUUAAUAUUAAGGACAAGAAGACCCUAUGAAUUUAUAAAUUUUAUUUAAUAUGUAACUACUAUUGAAAAAAUUUUAGCUGGGGCGGCGGAAAAAUAUUUAAAACUUUUUUAAAAUAAAAUGACCCAUUAUUAAUGAUUAUAUGUUAAAUACUCUAGGGAUAACAGCGUUAUAUUUUUUGAUAGAUCAUAUUGACAAAAAAGUUUGCGACCUCGAUGUUGGAUUAGGAUACUUUUUUAAUGCAGAUAUUAAAAAAAGAAGUUUGUUCAACUUUUAAUUUCCUACUUGAUCUGA
rnacentral:rRNA from 1 species